AUGAACGCUAGCGACAGGCUUAACACAUGCAAGUCGAGGGGCAGCAUGAUUUGUAGCAAUACAGAUUGAUGGCGACCGGCGCACGGGUGAGUAACGCGUAUGCAACUUACCUAUCAGAGGGGGAUAGCCCGGCGAAAGUCGGAUUAAUACCCCAUAAAACAGGGGUCCCGCAUGGGAAUAUUUGUUAAAGAUUCAUCGCUGAUAGAUAGGCAUGCGUUCCAUUAGGCAGUUGGCGGGGUAACGGCCCACCAAACCGACGAUGGAUAGGGGUUCUGAGAGGAAGGUCCCCCACAUUGGUACUGAGACACGGACCAAACUCCUACGGGAGGCAGCAGUGAGGAAUAUUGGUCAAUGGCCGAGAGGCUGAACCAGCCAAGUCGCGUGAAGGAAGAAGGAUCUAUGGUUUGUAAACUUCUUUUAUAGGGGAAUAAAGUGGAGGACGUGUCCUUUUUUGUAUGUACCCUAUGAAUAAGCAUCGGCUAACUCCGUGCCAGCAGCCGCGGUAAUACGGAGGAUGCGAGCGUUAUCCGGAUUUAUUGGGUUUAAAGGGUGCGUAGGUGGUGAUUUAAGUCAGCGGUGAAAGUUUGUGGCUCAACCAUAAAAUUGCCGUUGAAACUGGGUUACUUGAGUGUGUUUGAGGUAGGCGGAAUGCGUGGUGUAGCGGUGAAAUGCAUAGAUAUCACGCAGAACUCCGAUUGCGAAGGCAGCUUACUAAACCAUAACUGACACUGAAGCACGAAAGCGUGGGGAUCAAACAGGAUUAGAUACCCUGGUAGUCCACACAGUAAACGAUGAAUACUCGCUGUUUGCGAUAUACAGUAAGCGGCCAAGCGAAAGCGUUAAGUAUUCCACCUGGGGAGUACGCCGGCAACGGUGAAACUCAAAGGAAGUGACGGGGGACCGAACAAGCGGAGGAACAUGUGGUUUAAUUCGAUGAUACGCGAGGAACCUUACCCGGGCUUAAAUUGCAGAUGAAUUACGGUGAAAGCCGUAAGCCGCAAGGCAUCUGUGAAGGUGCUGCAUGGUUGUCGUCAGCUCGUGCCGUGAGGUGUCGGCUUAAGUGCCAUAACGAGCGCAACCCUUAUCACUAGUUACUAACAGGUGAAGCUGAGGACUCUGGUGAGACUGCCAGCGUAAGCUGUGAGGAAGGUGGGGAUGACGUCAAAUCAGCACGGCCCUUACAUCCGGGGCGACACACGUGUUACAAUGGCAUGGACAAAGGGCAGCUACCUGGUGACAGGAUGCUAAUCUCCAAACCAUGUCUCAGUUCGGAUCGGAGUCUGCAACUCGACUCCGUGAAGCUGGAUUCGCUAGUAAUCGCGCAUCAGCCAUGGCGCGGUGAAUACGUUCCCGGGCCUUGUACACACCGCCCGUCAAGCCAUGGGAGCCGGGGGUACCUGAAGUCCGUAACCGCAAGGAUCGGCCUAGGGUAAAACUGGUGACUGGGGCU
rnacentral:rRNA from 1 species